CUCCAGACCCACCACUCUGAAUGUAUAAGCACACUAAGAAUUUAAGAUGCGUCAGCACUGAGGCUGGGGUAUGUUCUUUUAAAAUUUGUGACGUAGCGAGCGUUUGAGAUCAACUAUCUCGACGUGUCGUUGUGGCUAAGGCGGGGACUUCGAGUCCCUAGAAAUUGAGUCGUUAUAGUUCGCGUCCGGGCGUUGUACCCCCGGACUCAGCAUAACUUGGAGGCAACUUCAGGUUAUAUGGUCAAGCGAAUAAGCGCACACGGUGGAUGCCUUGGCGGUCAGAGGCGAUGAAGGACGUGGCAGCCUGCGAAAAGUGUCGGGGAGCUGGCAACAAGCUUUGAUCCGGCAAUGUCCGAAUGGGGAAACCCACUGCUUCGGCAGUAUCCUGCAGUGAAUACAUAGCUGCUGGAAGCGAACCCGGUGAACUGAAAUAUCUAAGUAACCGGAGGAAAAGAAAUCAACCGAGAUUCCCUAAGUAGUGACGAGCGAACGGGGACUAGCCCUUAAGCUGGUAUGGUUCUAGAAAAACAACCUGGAAAGGUUGGCCAUAGAAGGUGAUAGCCCUGUAUUUAAAAGGGCCAUUCCAGUGAAGACGAGUAGGGCGGGGCACGUGAAACCCUGUCUGAAUAUGGGGGGACCAUCCUCCAAGGCUAAAUACUCCUGACCGACCGAUAGUGAACCAGUACC
rnacentral:sRNA from 1 species